AUACUUACCUGGUACGGGAGGUCACCGUGAUCCGCAAGGCGGUCCUCCCAGGGCGAGGCCCUUUCCAUUGCACAACAUCGGUUUGGCUGACCCCUGCGAUCACCCCAAAUGCGGGUGAUUCGAGUACGUAAUUUAUAUGUGUGGGGGUCUGCGUUCGCGCUAAUCCCUG
rnacentral:snRNA from 1 species